GUCGAACGGGAAGCCCCUUCGGGUGGCCGAGAGUGGCGCACGGGUGAGUAACGCGUGGGAAUCUGCCCUGGAGUGGGGGACAACCGCUGGAAACGGCGGCUAAUACCGCAUACGCCCUUAGGGGGAAAGCUUUAUGCGCUCCAGGAUGAGCCCGCGUCGGAUUAGCUUGUUGGUGAGGUAACGGCUCACCAAGGCUUCGAUCCGUAGCUGGUCUGAGAGGAUGAUCAGCCACACUGGGACUGAGACACGGCCCAGACUCCUACGGGAGGCAGCAGUGGGGAAUAUUGGACAAUGGGGGCAACCCUGAUCCAGCAAUGCCGCGUGUGUGAAGAAGGCCUUCGGGUUGUAAAGCACUUUCACUCGCGAAGAUGAUGACGGUAGCGAGAGAAGAAGCCCCGGCUAACUCCGUGCCAGCAGCCGCGGUAAUACGGAGGGGGCUAGCGUUGUUCGGAAUUACUGGGCGUAAAGGGCGUGUAGGCGGCUUUGCCAGUCAGGCGUGAAAGCCCCGGGCUUAACCUGGGAACUGCGUUUGAUACUGCGAGGCUAGAGUUCGGGAGAGGAGAGUGGAAUUCCCAGUGUAGAGGUGAAAUUCGUAGAUAUUGGGAAGAACACCAGUGGCGAAGCGGCUCUCUG
rnacentral:rRNA from 1 species